GCCGGAGUGGCGGAAUUGGUAGACGCGGCGGAUUCAAAAUCCGCUUCCUUCGGGAGUGGGGGUUCGAUUCCCCCCCUGGGUACCA
rnacentral:tRNA from 1 species